rnacentral:rRNA from 1 species
ACGCUCGACACCUACGGAAGGCAGCAGUCGGGAAUAUUGCGCAAUGGAGGAAACUCUGACGCAGUGACGCCGCGUAUAGGAAGAAGGUUUUCGGAUUGUAAACUAUUGUCGUUAGGGAAGAAAAAGGACAGUACCUAAGGAGGAAGCUCCGGCUAACUACGUGUCAGCAGCCGCGGUAAUCUGAGGCGGGCUGGCAAGGC